UUUCCAACAGCAAACAGUUCAUGACCCAGAAAGAACAAAAUAUUUUGGCUUGCCCUGGCUUUCAGCACCUGUUUAAACCAAAGGCCCUCGGAUUCUCUGCUCAGGUCAGAAGGCCCAGCCAACAACUGGAGAGGGGCUACAAAGCUGUAGAGACAGUCUUCCGGGGUGGUGUCAAACCCAAGACCCCAAGCCAAUGUCAAGGACCCUUACUGCCUCAGUUCCCAGAUGAGGAAAAGAAGAUAAAAAGCAAGCGCACAGAAGAACCUUAGAAGUAUCUGCCAGCUUGCCUUCGUCGCACGAGGAAUUGACCUCCAGAGUCCGCAUCCAUCUCCCAUCGGCUGCUCCAUAUUUUUCCAGGCAGUGUCGCAUCUGUGACAAAGCAGCCUGUGUCGCACCGAGCUUCAGUCGUUGUCAUCUGAGCAGCUGCGGUAGCCUUGGCAAGUUCUUCAGGAUUGACAGGUUGACUCUGGGGACAUGGAUGCUCUUUACAUUCUUCCAGUGGGAACAGUGCCCGCACUUAGAGGGCUUGAGAUCCACAAGAAGGUCUUACAUGAUGUGUUGACAUCACAGCAGGGAGCGAUGGAGGCCACCUCUCCUCUCACAUCUGGCAGAACUGGAAGAGAAGCACUGAGUUGCAAAGGGAUACCAGCGCUUGUGUGGAGCUCAGAGGACAACUCGCUUGAAGGCUUAGCAGGAAGCACCUUUAUCCACUGCGUCACCUAUCAGCUCAGCGACGUGGGAUUCUCCUUUGGCACGGGAAAGAACUUCAGGGUAAGCCAGGAAGAAAAUGGGUUGUAGUUUCUCCAGAAGAGACUAUGGCAGAGAUUUAAGCAGGGUGGGAAUAGAGAGAUGCUCAGGGUUGUAAGCUGUAAGACAGAACCACGAGUCACCAGGGUUGUGCAGUGGGUUAAGACACAUCUUACUGUAAUGGAGUUUCUUGUAAGAGUCCCAUAACAUGGUAGAUUUAGAUCUGAGAAAAGAGAAAGGCCCUAUACGCUCAGGUCUUAGGCAUGGUCAGUGGACUAUUGAAGCAGUGAUUAUUUUAACAUUCCUUUUUUUUUUAAGUAUUGUCUAUUUUGACAACCUUUCCAGCAAGUGUUCUUUAGGUUGGGAUUCUUAACUCUUAUCUGGAAAAGGCUUCAGUCAGACUCAGAGGUGAAGGUUUUCUGUCUCUUGCUUGUCCCCGAAAUAUCCCUUUCAAUUUUGCCUCUUGUGUGAAGGUUUCCUUCUUUUUUCUUUGUUAUUAUUUUUGUUUUGGGACAGGGUUUCUCUACACAGCUCUGGCUGUCCUGGAGCUUGCUAUGUAGACCAGGCUAGCCUUGGACUCACUGAAAUCCUCCUGUCUCUGCCUCCUGAGUGCCUGUAUUAAAGGCAUAUGCCGCCACAUCCAGGUUGGGUUUUUGUUGUUGUUGUUGUUUGGUUUUGUUUUUAAAUAAGCAUGUCUUACUGCGUGGGUUUUUUUUAAUUACUUUUGUUGAUUUGUGUAUAUUCAUUGUGUUCUGUGAAUGUGUGCACACUCGUGUGAAUAUAUACCAUGGUGCACAAGUGGGGGUUGGAGGACAACUCCUAGAGGAUGGUUCUUUCCUUCCACAAUGUGCGUCUCAGACACUUGGCAGCAAGUAUCUCUUUAUCCAUUGACACUUCUCGGUGGCCCUGGUUUGUUUUUUGAUAGGAAUUUAUUAUGGCAUGAGUAUGAUUUGUUCUUCUAACAGCCACUUUUAAAAUUUUAUAUUUGAGAUUAUAAUAUAGUUACAUUUCUCCUUUCCCUCUCUUCCCUCCAAACUGUCCCAUAUGCCCUCCCCACUUUCCUCCAAAUUCAUGGUCUCUUUUCUCACUAAUCGCUAUUGUAUUCAUAUAUGUAUUUUGACAUACAUUCCUAAAUAUAAACUGCUCAGUUCAUAUAAUGUUAUUUGUAUGUAUGCUUUCAGGGCUGACCAUCAUUUGGCACUGGACAACUAAUGGGUGUGCUUUUUCUUGGGGAAGACCUCUCUAUCUCCCAGCUUUCCUCAGUUGCCCACAAUUCUCCUGUAGGGUUGAGGCCUGGUGGCCUUUUCCCCAUCCUCGUUGGCAAGUCCACUGGUGUCAUCCUUGUUUAGCUCAUAUUUGGGCAGUCAUGUUAGUGAGGCUUUGUGACCCUGGCUUCCAAUAUUACUAGGAGACACAAUCAGAUACAAUCUCACAGCAAACUCCCUGAUCCUCUGGCUCUUACAAUCUUUCCAUUCCUCUUCCAAAAUGUUCCCUGAGGCUUGGUUGGGUGUUAGGGUGUUUGUAGAUGUAUCCACUGGGACUGGGUUCCACAACUUUGCCUUUUCAUUGUUUUUGGUCUUCUGCAGGAGUAUGCACUAACAGCCAUUUCUUACUGCUUGGAUCUGAUUUGAGUGUGUCCCAAGGACUUGUCUGUUGGAAAUUUCGUCCUCGGUUUAGUGAUGUGAGGGAGUGAUAGACACUUUAAGAGAUGGAAUCCAGUGCAAGGUGAUGGGUUGGCUGAACACCAUCAUUGGAAGGAGAUGGUUACUGUGAAGCCCCCAGGUAGUAAUAAAAGGACAAACCUGGCCCCUAUGUCAUUUUCCAUGUCCUCUUUCCUAUGUGCACACGCUUCCAUCAUGUUAUCCAGCAGGCAAGAGAACUUCUCACCUGAGCCAACUCUAUGAUGUUAAGACAUGCAGCCUCUAAAGCUGUAGGCUAAAGAGAUUUCUUUCUCCACACAUUAGCCAGCACGGGGUAGUUCAUUAUAGUAAUGGAAAACAGACUAAAACAAUAAUAAAGCCAUGUCUUCACAUUUAACUUACAUGAACUCUAGUGAGUAUGCCGAAUGGUCAGUAAUUAAGUAAGUAUGUUUUGAUAGAGAAGGCCGAUAAACCAAGCCAGGCACUUUAUCUGCUGCUCGCAUAAAGUCAUGAACACCUUUUCCACUGCAGAACAAAGAAGAGUCCAAGGUGUUGGCCUUGUUGUCGUUUGAGAGUCCGCCAGGUAUACACCAGAUAACCUUGCGUUGUUGAGAGGAUUUUAACGUUGACGUUAAUGUGAUCUUUUGGGGGAUUCUUUUGGUUCUGUGGCUAUCUUUUCACUGUAUCACAUGCUCUUUAGAAGCUGAGAAGUUACUCCCACAGUGCUUCAGAGUCUUAUAACCUUAGCUAAUAAAUAUGAGGAGUGGGAUUAUUGAAAUCACCCAAGCGUGCAUGCUGAGUCUUCCCUCCCUGCUGCGCUGGGAGAUGCACCUCACUUUUCUUCCUAAGACCUGAGAGGAAGGAUACAAUGGCUGCUGUGAUAAGAGAAAUUGUGUUCCUUUGACACAUCAGUGGGUGAGGAGACCAGAGUGGUCCUUGGAUCUCUACUGUCGGUUUGGAGUCCUUGGACAUCAGCAGUUGGUAGAAAGGUGACAAGAGCAUAUGAGACUGUCUGAGAACACAGCCCCUGAAAGCAACCACAUGAAAAGUCCAGCUUGAGCCAUCUACGUCUUAGAGAUGUCACAUGAACUUGGCCAAAAUGAGCCACAGGAGGAAAACUAAUGGCAUCAGUCAGCUAAAAGAGAUGCCCCAGGAAGGCGGAUGGUAUUAUUUCCUGUUUCAUUUGUAAUGGCCACAUCCUGUAGUAUACAAUGAUGUGUGUGAAACCUUACUGGCCAUCAGUUAACAUUACCACCUCAUUCCCCCUUAGACACUUCGAAGGCUUGGUAGCUUCCACCAUGCCCUCUAAUAAUGCCCAUCUCCUGCCACUCAUCCCUUUGCUUUGGGGGUGAGCAGAUCCCAAAAGCAGGAGUUUGCUUCUAAUGAACAAGUCUGCAGAAAUGGUAAGCUGUGUUGUCUGGGGCUAGGUUACAGAAGUCUGCAGAUUCUGUCUUGUUCGUCUUCUUCUUGUGUCUUACCUGCUCUGCUGACGCCAGCUGUCAUGGUGUGAGCUGUCCUGUAGUGAACGUCUCACGACUGGCAAGUAAGGGUUUCUAGUCAAUAGCUAAGAAGGAACUGAGGCUUCAGCCUACCAGGCCACGUGGAGGUGAAUACAACAACCGUGUGUGUGUGUGUGUGUGUGUGUGUGUGUGUGUGUGUGUGUGUGUGUGUCCCCUUUCCUGAUGGAGACAUAAGUCAGCUGCACACCCUCCCAUCUUCAUCUAUGAACAAUCAGCAUAUAUCUGGCAUCUUUUGUUUUGUUUUUCUUUUGAGACUGAAAAGAAUCUCUAAGCUAGGAGUGAGUGACAGAUUUAUUCUGUUACUAUCUUGCUGGAGAAAUUCUGUUCUGGUUGCUGCUGUUGUAUGAGACACGAUUCAACACUCAGUGACUUAAAACAAUGCAAUUUUUAUUUUUCUCUUGGUUUUUUUUUUUUUUUUUGUGGAUGGGUUGCCAGGGAUAGUACCCAGAACCUUAUGUGUGUUAGCAGGUGCUCUACCCCUGGGUUAUAGCUCCAGUCCUCUGGAUUCUUUAAGUCAGAUAUUCGGGCAAUGUGUGGCUGCAAGUCUGCCUGGGCCCCAUUGGAUAUCACACAGAGGUACCUGGCAUGGGCCACCUGCACCUGUGUGGGGGGCUUUAACAAGAGUAAAGGUUGACACUGUGAGGCUUCAUCAAAGCUGCCACCCUCCCUAGCUCACUCCUAGGCUAACCUGGCUUUUCAAAUUGCAGCUGGCUUUCCCAAGAAUACGGAGCUCCAUCUCAUUGCUCCUCUAACAUGGUUGUAGAUUUGAAAGGCACAAUGGCAAUUGAAUGCCUUAAACAGCCAAGGGCACAUUUGACUUUCUUGGUGUUGCUAGAUAGGGUGUCAUGGGGCUAGGGAUUUAGCUCAGUGGUAGAGCGCUCGCCUAGCAAGCUCAAGGCCCUGGGUUCGGUCCUCAGCUCUGAAAUUUAAAAAAAAAAAAAGAUAGGGUGUCAUUAUGUAGCCCAGGCUGUCCCUAAACUCAUAAUCCUCCUGCCGCAUUUCCCAAGUGCUGGAAUUAAAGGCAUCUGCCACCACGUCUAGCUACAAUUUAACUCUUUUUGUUUUUAUUUUGAAACAUGUUCUCAGGGAGCCCAGGCUGGCCUCCAACUUGUUAUGGAGCCAGGGAUGACCUUGAACUCCUGAUCCUCUUGCCUCUGCUCCCAAGAGCUGGGAUGAAAGACAUGUGCCACCACAUCUAGCCACAAUUUAACUUUCAAUCAAACAAAAGUUUACAAAAUUUAUUGAUCCAUGAGUUCUUAUCCUGUUUAUAUCAGAAAAAUCAUGUGACACUUGGGAAAAAGGCAAAAGGGCAAAAAGAAAAGAGAAGAUGAAGAAGAGGAGAAAGAAAGGAGAAAAGAAAAGAAAAAAGUUACCAGGCCCUUGCAAAUGUGGUUAGUGUGACUGAGGAGCUGAAUUUGAACUUUAUUUCAUUUUGAUUUGUUGAAAUGUGAAAGUCAAGAGGGCACAGUAGACCCCAUGUUGGACGACACAGGGCUGUGGAGAUGCUCUUGGUUCAUCUCGGUGUUGACUUGGAUCAGCAGUCUCAGAUGUGGAGAAGUCAUUCUGUCCCCUGGGACUUUCAGCGGCUCAUUCAGCCUCCCUGACACCCAGAAUGAACUCGCUAUCAAACAACUGUGUGAGUAACCCCUGACCCACAACGACAGGACACUCUGCAAACUGACGUGGUUCUGACAGACUGUGAGGCUCACAUUUGUGCAACAUCUUUUCUGGGCCAUGGUGUACCUAGAGUUCAACAGAGUUUCUAGCUGUGUUUGAGAACAGUUCUGGAAGAAAGAAACAUUUCAGUUGAUGGACCGACUGAAGAGGCAGCCUUCUCAAUGAGAUGGCCCUGUGCAAUCUCUUCGGGUACUAGACAAGAGGAAAAGGCAAGGAGGCAAGAAGGAACGAACUCAGCCUGGCUGCCUCAGCUGGGACACUGACUCUCCCUGCUCUCAGUGUUCCUGGUUCUCUGGUCUUUAGGGCCUCAUUGGACACUACGCUGUAUUGGUUACUUUUCUCAUCUGUGACAAAACACAUCUCUGAGCCCUAUGUGAAGAACAGGUUAUUCAGAUUCACAGUUCCAAAGGGAAGAGUUCAUCGUGAUGAAGAAGGCAUGGUGGCUAGAGAGGUUCUCUCUGUAGCAGUGAGGGCAUGUGGUGGUGACCUCAUGCAUCUUGUCAUAUCAAGAAGCAGAAAACAUGGGGGAAAGGAGCCAGGAAUAAUUUACCUCCAAGAACAUCCCCUCAGUUACACACUUCCUCCAGCUAGGCCUACCUCCUAUUGGGUAGCAAUUAACUCCAAGAUAAACCUCCUUCAUGGAAGGAAGACCUAUGAUGCUUUAAAGAGAGGUGAAACAUUCCAUCCUGCAAAGAAGAUCAUUAAACGCAAGAAGUAAACUGAAAAGCAUCAGGAAGCCCCUGAAACACAGCAUAUUCACUAGGCCCCUCCUUCCCCAGAGAAAGCAGUAAAGACUGCUGAGAGACAAUCUCAGUCCAGCCAGGUGAACUUAAAGACACAGAGAGCAGCUGAGCUCUGUUAACAAGGCUGACUCUUAAACUAAGCUCUCUAGAGAAAGUCAAGGCCAGCCAAGCUGCUGGAAGAGACUGUGACCCGAAAGAGACAUUCCCCAACUGGUUGAUCUGCAAAUUGUGCAGUAGGCUCCAGGUUUCCAACACUCCGGAACUGUCUGUCACUCAUGUUAGAGUGAGCUUUUAGUAAUGUAGCUUUGUUGUUUCUGCUGCUGUAAGUAACCCUUCACUCAUAAUCCCACACAUAACCCCAAUAAAACUCACUGAUUCACCAGGUUGGUGGAACCCUUA